CCUACGGGAGGCAGCAGUGGGGAAUAUUGCACAAUGGGCGAAAGCCUGAUGCAGCAACGCCGCGUGAAGGAAGAAGGGUCUCGGCUUGUUAACUUCUAUUUACAGGGACGUAAGAAAUGACGGUACCUGACUAAGAAGCCCCGGCUAACUACGUGCCAGCAGCCGCGGUAAUACGGAGGGGGCACGCGUUAUCCGGAAUUACUGGGUGUAAAGGGUGAGUAGGCGGCAUGGUAAGCCAGAUGUGAAAGCCUUGGGCUUAACCCGAGGAUUGCAUUUGGAACUAGCAAGCUAGAGUACAGGAGAGGAAGGCGGAAUUCCUGGUGUAGCGGUGAAAUGCGUAGAUAUUAGGAAGAACACCGGUGGCGAAGGCAGCUUUCUGGACUGAAACUGACGCUGAGGCACGAAAGCGUGGGGAGCGAACAGGAUUAGAUACCCGUGUAGUC
rnacentral:rRNA from 1 species